ACACUAGAAGGAAGGGCAGAAAAAGAUACACAAUGCUCAGGUAUGUUUAUAGUCGUAAUUACAACCUCCAAAUAAUUUAUAUUUCUAACUACUAUAUCACUAAUCUCCAAAUAUACUGAUGUUAUUGGACUACUAACUCAAAUGAAGCCAGUGGAGACAAGAAUAACAAAAAAGAACCCACAACCUUCGCGAGAUUGAAAUCCUAAUGCCAGAGUAAGUGCAUAUGCAUAUGCAUGUCUGAAAUUAAACUAAACCUCCCCCAUGUGGUCAGCAUCAUAACAAUCGAAGCAUGCUGGCGGAUAUUCCAUUUGAUCUACACCAUCGUGAUCCACCAGUUGAGAGACUGUCAUUCCACAUUGAAAUGAGCAACAAUUAUUUUUCCGGACUCAACUGACAUUGAGAAGAUAGUAAGAAGACCAGGAUCCACAAGUACUAAGUUCACAGAGUGGAUGGAGGCAAACAAAAUAUACAAGGUGGGAAAAGAAUUAACCUAUGCAGAAUUCCCAUCAAAAUUUGUAUGGAAAAGCGAAAGCAAAACUUGGGAGGAGCGGAAAAGGGGCUUUGCAAUUGGAAGAAUCUACUAUGCACACCCUGCAAGUGGUGACCAGUAUUAUAUGUGAAUGCUUCUAAACACCAAGAAAGGAUGCACAUCAUUUGAGGAUAUUAGAACAAUUAAUGGAGUUGUUCACCCAACAUACAAAUUAGCAUGCCAACCGCUUGGAUUUCUUGAUGACGAUAGUGAAUGGAUUGAAUGCAUCAAUGAAGCAUCAAGCUAGGGAUCAGGGACACAAUUACGACAACUAUUUACCACAAUUUUAUGCCAUUGUGAGGUGACCAGCCCAAAGAUGUUGUGGUAUUCAACAAGGGAGGCACUGUCUGAAGAUAUCCAGUACAAAAGAAGAACCAUCCUAAACUUUCCUACGCUAAAGCUCACUGAUUCACAGAAAAAAACAUAUGCUCUUAUCGAGAUAGAGUAACUAAUGAGGCAAGCAGGAAAGACACUAAAGGACUAUCCAAACAUAGAACUACCAAAUGCUACAGAACUUCAAAAACUUGGGAACAUAAUGAUAAACGAAGAACUUAGCUAUGACAUGGAGGCACUAAAGAGUGAGAACCAAACAAUAAUACACAAUCUUAACCACGACCACAAUCUUAAAGACAUAAUUUUACAUAAAGGAGAAGACCCCAAAGAAGAGAUAGUCAAAAGAAUGUACCCAAACUUGCAACAAAACUAUCAUGAUCGUGAAUUUCUUGGAAGAAAGAGCAAUAUUGUGCCCAAGGAAUGAAAAAGUUGAGAAGAUAAAUGACUAAAUAAUGAGCCAAAUACAAGGUGAAGAUGUGACAUACCUAAGCUUGGACACUACAUGCAAGGCAACAAUGAAGUACAACACAAUGGAUAAUAUGUUUCCAACGGAGUUCCUUAACAACAUGAUCUUCCCAGGAAUUCCAAACCAUCAGCUAAAACUGAAGGUAGGUUUGCUGGUGAUGCCCCUACGAAACAUCAAUCAAGUGGCAGGUUUAUACAAUGGCACAAGAAUGACUAUCGCACAACUGGAAACAGGUACAUUGAGGCACAAAUAAUCACACGAACACACGUCGGUGACAAGGUAUACAUACCUAAAAUCAUUAUGUCACCAAGCGACUCAAAAUGGCCGUUCGUGCUGAAAAGAAGGCAAUAUCCUCUAUCAGUUUGUUUUGCAGUGACAAUAAAUAAAAGCCAAGGUCAAUCCCUAAACAAGGCGGGCCUAUAUUUUCCUAAGCAAGUCUUCUGCCCUGGGCAACUAUAUGUGGCAUUAUCAAGAGUCACAAAGAGAGAAGGAUUAAAGGUGUUGAUCGACGACACGGAGCGCCCAAGCGAAGAUAGCGCAAAGAAUAUAGUAUACAAAGAGAUCUUCUAAUUUUUUUGUUAUUCACACAAAUGCAUACGAGGGCCAAAUCACCAUGAUUAAAAAUUACAACGUAUGGUUCAAAAGCAUGACGUCCAUGUCUUACAUAUAUGGCCCGAAAUACUGUAUAAAAAAGUAUGUUAUACAUUGGAUUUCUUAUUAUUUCGUAAGCAGGAAAUAAGAACAUGAAAAUGCAUAUUAUUAUUGCCAUACGCUGCUUUCAUGCUUAGAGAUGUUAACAAGUGUUUACAUGUAGCUUACUUUCUACAUGGGCAAAAGUUUAAAAGUCUUAUUGCAAAUUUGGAAUAAUAACCACUCCGACAAACAUGAUUAUCAGAAAUCUUAUUAGAUGACAAGAUUCCAUAAGCAAGAUAAGAAACCAUAUCUGUAACUAAUUCACACACCUUGCAUUUGUGUGUGCACCAUAUAACAUUGUGUAUGAUUGUAUGUUCACCAUAUAGCACUGCCUCUAUGUGGUAAUUAAGACACAAGAAGCUGACAAGAAAACUAGCCGCACCUAAAUAACUAAACUACAAAAAUUAAACUACAGCUAACCGCAUGCAUGUGUCACAUUAAGCUGAUGCUUUUGCUACAUAGCUCAGUAAAAGUGCAGGUAAACCACCUUCUUCUACUGAAAAUUAAUAAUUAGAUGCAAGGGUCUAUUGUUAGGUUCAGUUAAGACUUAAUUCAAGCAGAUCCACAUGUUUGCUUCACUGCAGAAUGCAGAGAACAAGUAUAGCUCCACUUCUAAACACAUAAAGUUGUGGUAUGAAUUAUGAUUUCACACAAAAAGUUCUUUAUCAAUGGAAAGAUAAAAUCUUAUUCUAAUUUCUAGAUCAUUCAAGUUCACAAAGCCUUAUAUGGUUGCAAUAAAACUGACAUUUGGUAGAAGUCCGGACAGCAGGAGGGCAAUAACUAAAAGCCACUUGCAGAAAAUACUCACAUCUUGCUGAUAUUUUUUCCUCCGCAAGCUCCCUCAAUACCUCCGCAGCCCCAACAUCCAAAGCCUCCAGCUACAACAAGUUUGAGCAGCGUAGCCCACGUUCUCCCUGGACAUCUCCAUGACCGCGUUGCCAGACUCGACGAGGUCGCCGAGAUCCACACACUCACCCUGCCACAUGUGCCACCAUCAAGGAAGAAAAAUUAGGAGAAAAGAAGCGACAUGUGGAUCUGGGAUAGCAUGAGGAUUAGUAUCCUGAUGAGGCAC
rnacentral:lncRNA from 1 species